CAACCCAACCCUUGGCCGCUGUGUUUGCAUGCUCUUCACCCUGCUCCUGCCCACUCUGCUUGUCAGCUUUCCUCAGUCCUGAAAGAUCCUUAGUGCCUGGAUUUUGUCAUCCAGCCCUGCAGGAUGCUCCCAUUUGUCCUGAGGAAGGCUGUCCCAGAUGGAGAAGAGGAGAUGGAGGUGGAUAUAGAGAUUGAUAGAGAGGAGGACAUGGAGACGGAGGGAGAAGACACUGGGGAGGAGGAGAUGGAGGUGGAGGUGGAGGUGACGGUGGAAGAAGAGAUGGAUGUGGAUAUGGAAGAGUCCAUUGAGGACAUGGACAUUGAUUAAAAAGGUGCGAUGGACAUCAUGGAGUGAGAUGCCACCUUUUUGUAUAUACGUUUUACACUUUGAUAUUGACUUUAGGAUGUAGGUUUUAGGGCUUUUUGUCUUCUGUAAAUACAUUUCAUAUAUUUUUUGUUAGAUAG